rnacentral:rRNA from 1 species
UAGGGUUUUUACAAAUUUUCCCCGGAAAAAUUUUACAUAUAAUUAAGCGGAGGAAAAGAAAAUAACCAUGAUUCCCUCAGUAAGGGCGACUGAAGCGGGAAGAGCUCAUUCUGUGAAUCUGCACCCUGUGGUGCCGAGUUGUGGAAUAUAGAAGCGCAUCAGCUGCAGACCCCGGUCCAAGUCUUCUGGAAAGGAGCGCUUGAAAGGGUGAGAGCCCCGUAUCUGGCUGGGUGGCUGUGGCAUCAGCAUGUGCCUUCGACGAGUCGAGUUGCUUGGGAUUGCAGCUCUAAGUGGGUGGUAAAUUCCAUCUAAAGCUAAAUAUCGGUGGGAGACCGAUAGCGUACAAGUACCGUGAGGGAAAGAUGCAAAGAACUUUGAAAAGAGAGUUAAAGAGUACCUGAAAUCGCUGAAAUGGAAGCGAAGGAAACCAGUGGCAUUCUUCAACAUUUUCCCUUGUUGCUUGCGGCAAGGGCGCUGUGUUGGAGAGUCGGCCAGCAUGGGUUUGGAUCGGCGGAAAACGUCCUUCAGGAGGCAGCUAGAAUUCCUAGCGAUCACUGAGGGAUGGUGCGCUGGUCGAGACCGAGGCUAGUCACGUUUGUGCUCGUGAUGCUGGCGAAAUGGUUUUCUUUACCCCGUCUUGAAACACGGACCAAGGAGUCUAACAUAUGUGCGAGUAUAUGGGUGGCAAACCCACAUGCGUAAUGAAAGUAACAGUGGUAGGACCUUCUGGGCACUAUCCGCCGGCCAAUAUCCUUCGGGAGAACGGUCUGAGUGUGAGCAUACAUGUUGGGACCCGAAAGAUGGUGAACUAUGCCUGAAUAGGGUGAAGCCGCGGGAAACCGCGGUGGAGGCUCGUAGCGGUUCUGACGUGCAAAUCGAUCGUCAAAUUUGGGUAUAGGGGCGAAAGACUAAUCGAACAUCAGACGGGGGGCCCCUCCCCAGAGAAAGUCAGGGAG